rnacentral:rRNA from 1 species
AGAAUCAACGCUGGCGGCGUGCCUAACACAUGCAAGUCGAACGAGAAAGUGGAGCAAUCCAUUAGUAAAGUGGCGCACGGGUGAGUAACACGUGACUAACCUACCCUUGAGUGGGGGAUAACCUAGAGAAAUCUGGGCUAAUACCGCAUAAUACCUUCGGGUCAAAGGAGCAAUUCGCUUAAGGAGGGGGUCGCGGCCGAUUAGUUAGUUGGCGGGGGUAAUGGCCCACCAAGACUAUGAUCGGUAUCCGGCCUGAGAGGGCGCACGGACACACUGGAACUGAAACACGGUCCAGACUCCUACGGGAGGCAGCAGUGGGGAAUUUUGCGCAAUGGGGGAAACCCUGACGCAGCAACGCCGCGUGGAGGAUGAAGCCCCUUGGGGCGUAAACUCCUUUCGAUCGGGACGAUAAUGACGGUACCGAGAGAAGAAGCCCCGGCUAACUUCGCGCCAGCAGCCGC